rnacentral:rRNA from 1 species
AUUGAACGCUGGCGGCAGGCCUAACACAUGCAAGUCGAACGAGUGGCGGACGGGUGAGUAAUGUCUGGGAAACUGCCUGAUGGAGGGGGAUAACUACUGGAAACGGUAGCUAAUACCGCAUACCAUCAGAUGUGCCCAGAUGGGAUUAGCUAGUUGGUGGGGUAACGGCUAACCAAGGCGACGAUCCCUAGCUGGUCUGAGAGGAUGACGAGCCACACUUGAGCAGAGACGCGGUCCUGACUCCAACGUUAGGCAGCAGUAGGGAAUAUUGAACAAUGGGGGGAAGCCUGGUGCAGCCAUGCCGAAUGUAUGAUGAAGGCCUUCGGAUUGUAAAGUACUUUCGACAGGGAGGCGUUGCCCGCAGAGGAAGCACCGGCAGACUCCAUGCCAGCAGCCGCGGUAAUAC